rnacentral:lncRNA from 1 species
AUUGAAAUCUCAUAACCGUACAUGGUCAAAAGGCCUAUAGAAAUAAUAUUCAAUAAAAAUAAAGGACAAAAGUGACAUUCACUAAGAAUAAUAAUAUUGAACUUGAAUAUAAGCUUAAUAAUCCCUAAUGCUAGAAUAAGAACAGAUCUUCCAUCUCCAAUAUUUAGAAAUAUUUCACCUUCUUCAAAUCUCCUACUGACCUAC